rnacentral:rRNA from 1 species
UACGAGGGGGGCAAGCGUUGUCCGGAAUUAUUGGGCGUAAAGAGCUCGUAGGCGGCCUGUUGCGUCCGCUGUGAAAUCCCGGGGCUCAACCCCGGGCCUGCAGUGGAUACGGGCUGGCUAGAGGCAGGCAGGGGAGAACGGAAUUCCUGGUGUAGCGGUGAAAUGCGCAGAUAUCAGGAGGAACACCGGUGGCGAAGGCGGUUCUCUGGGCCUGUACUGACGCUGAGGAGCGAAAGCGUGGGGAGCGAACAGG